rnacentral:lncRNA from 1 species
UUUUGUCGCAUUAUAUAUAUGUUGCAAUUAUAUACAUAUACAUAGAUAUGUAUGUCGCCUAGGUAUUACAGCAAACACUUAGAGAGUACAUAAUCAAUCAGUAUGAAUCUAUAUCAUAAAAAUUCCAAUCGCAAUGGUGACAAGGUGUAUAUACACGCAUUUAUCACGAGAAGUAUUCUAUAUUAACAAUCGUUCCUUCUUUAAGUAUGGUGCUCCAUUGCUAAAAAUUCUAAUUCAGACUCCUAUUUUAACACAUAUGAAAAUAAAAGUAAUGAACAUAAAUAGGUCUAGUAAAAUAAAUGUAGAACUUGAAACUCAAUUAUAGAAGCCAGUUAAGUUUUUAUCCCAGCACCCCAUCACCUAACCUCUAUACACUGCACCCCUUCUCUUUUUCUUUAUUGCCCCCAUUCCCCCUCUACAAUUUGACAACUUCUUCCCCUAAGAGGAUCCCUCCCAUCUUUCCACUCAACUAGGCACACUACCUAAUUGUACUAUUUACAUGGUGCUCACAUUAGAUACUGAUCGUCCUUAACACACAAACCCUGCAACCUGUGACCAUUGAAUGGCUCAAAGGCACUUCCCACAUCACCAUAACCCACAAU